rnacentral:rRNA from 1 species
ACUGAAGCGACAAUAGCUCACCAUGUGAAUCUGCGUCAAGCCGAAUUGUGGUCUCACUUGCGCUAUUGGGCCGGGCCAAGUCCGUUGGAACACGGCAGCCGAGAGGGUGACACUCCCGUCCGCCCGGCCCUCUGAGCUUGUGUAUUCGAGUCGAGUUGUUUGGGAUUGCAGCUCUAAGCGGGUGGUAAAUUCCAUCGAAAGCUAAAUACUGGUGGGAGACCGAUAGCGUACAAGUACCGUGAGGGAAAGAUGCAAAGAAGCGCGAAAGCGCUGUUAAAGAGUACCUGAACUUGCUGAAACGGAAGCGAAGGAAACCAGUGCCAGCUGCGCCAUACUUCCCCAUCCGCUUGCGGUUGGGGCGCUGUGGCCAGCGUUGUCAUGCUUGGUUGGCGGGUGCGGAAGAGCUCGUGGGGAGUUGACCCUCGUUGCGUGCGCGCCGUCCGACCGAGCCUGACGAAAUGGUUUUCUUUUUCCCGUCUAGAAACACGGACCAAGGAGUCUAACAUAUGUGCGAGUACAGAGGUGGCAAACCUCCGUGCGCAAUGAAAGUGACAGUGGCUGGAAUUUUUGCACAGUCCGCCGGCCUCAAUCCCUCGGGAGAACGGUCUGAGUGUGAGCAUACAUGUUGGGACCCGAAAGAUGGUGAACUAUGCCUGAAUAGGGCGAAGCCAGGGGAAACUCUGGUGGAGGCUCGUAGGGAUUCUGACGUGCAAAUCGAUCUUCAAAUUUGGGUAUAGGG